rnacentral:rRNA from 1 species
UACGUAGGGUGCAAGCGUUGUCCGGAUUUAUUGGGCGUAAAGAGCGUGUAGGCGGCCUGAAAGGUCAGCUGUGAAAACUCGAGGCUCAACCUCGAGACGUCGGUUGAAACCAUCUGGCUAGAGUCCGGAAGAGGAGUGUGGAAUUCCCGGUGUAGCGGUGAAAUGCGCAGAUAUCAGGAGGAACACCGGUGGCGAAGGCGGGUCUCUGGGCCAAUACUGACGCUGAGGAGCGAAAGCGUGGGGAGCGAACAGG